rnacentral:lncRNA from 1 species
ACUGUUCUAGAAUAAGGAUUGUCUGCUGUGGGGAACAUUCCAUAUUCUUGGACUCAAGGAAGGCUGUUUAAUUCAGAGCAUUAGUGAUUAGCAAAUUGCCCUGGAAUCAAAGAUUUGGUACUUGAGUUUGAUAAGCAUUCCAUUAUUUGUUCGAAAUGCUCAGUUUGCUGAAAUUUGGGUGAAAAUACCUUUUGAAGACACAGUCUCUGAGCCUUAAUGAUGGCCGGUGUGGACAGUACUGUAAGAUGCACUGCCAGCAGAUUUGACGUUUUCAGUGUAGUCGGUCGUGUUUUCUAAGAAAGAUUUUAGAGAUCAGCUGAUUAAAUGUAACCAUUGUUUCAUUUAUGGGGUGAAAAACUAAAGCAUUUCUCCUUGAAAACAAACUUCGUUUGGAAAG